UACAGAGGUCCCAAGCGUUGUUCGGAUUCAUUGGGCGUAAAGGGCGCGUAGGUGGUUCUGUAUGUCUACCGUGAAAGCAUACAGCUCAACUGUAUUUUGUCGGUAGAAACUGCAGGACUUGAGGCUGGGAGGGGCUGGUGGAAUUCCCUGUGUAGCGGUGAAAUGCGUAGAGAUGGGGGAGAACACUCGUGGCGAAGGCGGCCAGCUAGACCAGUUCUGACACUGAGGCGCGACAGCGUGGGGAGCAAACAGG
rnacentral:rRNA from 1 species